rnacentral:rRNA from 1 species
UACAGAGGUCUCAAGCGUUGUUCGGAUUCAUUGGGCGUAAAGGGUGUGUAGGUGGCGCGCUAAGUCGGGUGUGAAAUUUCGGAGCUUAACUCCGAAACUGCAUUCGAUACUGGCGUGCUUGAGGACUGGAGAGGAGACUGGAAUUCAUGGUGUAGCAGUGAAAUGCGUAGAUAUCUGGAGGAACACCGGUGGCGAAGGCGGCAUCCUGGACCGGUAUUGACGCUGAGG